rnacentral:rRNA from 1 species
AACAGGAUUAGAUACCCUGGUAGUCCACGCCGUAAACGAUGUCGACUUGGAGGUUGUGCCCUUGAGGCGUGGCUUCCGGAGCUAACGCGUUAAGUCGACCGCCUGGGGAGUACGGCCGCAAGGUUAAAACUCAAAUGAAUUGACGGGGGCCCGCACAAGCGGUGGAGCAUGUGGUUUAAUUCGAUGCAACGCGAAGAACCUUACCUGGUCUUGACAUCCACAGAACUUUCCAGGGAUGGACUGGUGCCUUCGGGAACUGUGAGACAGGUGCUGCAUGGCUGUCGUCAGCUCGUGUUGUGAAAUGUUGGGUUAAGUCCCGCAACGAGCGCAACCCUUAUCCUUUGUUGCCAGCGGUCCGGCCGGGAACUCAAAGGAGACUGCCAGUGAUAAACUGGAGGAAGGUGGGGAUGACGUCAAGUCAUCAUGGCCCUUACGACCAGGGCUACACACGCGCUACAAUGGCGCAUACAAAGAGAAGCGACCUCGCGAGAGCAAGCGGACCUCAUAAAGUGCGUCGUAGUCCGGAUUGGAGUCUGCAACUCGACUCCAUGAAGUCGGAAUCGCUAGUAAUCGUGGAUCAGAAUGCCACGGUGAAUACGUUCCCGGGCCUUGUACACACCGCCCGUCACACCAUGGGAGUGGGUUGCAAAAGAAGUAGGUAGCUUAACCUUCGGGAGGGCGCUUACCACUUUGUGAUUCAUGACUGGGGUGAAGUCGUAACAAGGUAACC